rnacentral:snRNA from 1 species
ACACUUACCUGAAAUCGGGGGUUGCAGUGGUCAUGAUGGCUGGCCCCCCGAGUGGAGGCUCUCCAUUGCACUGCGGAGCGGCUAAAACUCGCCUCUGCCUCAAAUUGAGGCAGCAGGGAUUUAUAAUUUUUGGUAGUGGGGGGCAGGCGUUCGCGCCGUCCCCCU